rfam:Sclerotinia sclerotiorum 1980 scaffold_4 genomic scaffold, whole genome shotgun sequence.
GGUCGCUUAGCUCAGUUGGUUAGAGCGUGGUGCUAAUAUCUUCUCUGAUAAAUUUGGAAAGAUUGUAACGCCAAGGUCGCGAGUUCGACCCUCGUAGUGAUCA